GAGUAACGCGUGGGUAACUUACCCUCGAGCGGGGAAUAACUCCGGGAAACCGGAGAUAAUACCGCAUAACAAGCCUUGUUCGAGAGGACGGGGCUUCAAAGACUUCGGUCGCUCGAGGAGAGGCCCGCGUCCGAUUAGCUAGUUGGUGAGGUAAGAGCUCACCAAGGCGACGAUCGGUAGCCGGUCUGAGAGGACGGACGGCCACACUGGGACUGAGACACGGCCCAGACUCCUACGGGAGGCAGCAGUGGGGAAUCUUGGGCAAUGGGCGCAAGCCUGACCCAGCAACGCCGCGUGGAGGAUGAAGUCUUUCGGGACGUAAACUCCUGUCAGAGGGGACGAAGGCCCGCAAGGGUUUGACGGUACCCUCGGAGGAAGCCACGGCUAACUCCGUGCCAGCAGCCGCGGUAAUACGGGGGUGGCAAGCGUUGUUCGGAAUUACUGGGCGUAAAGGGCGCGUAGGCGGCCGAGUAGGUCGCAUGUGAAAGCCUUGGGCUUAACCUGAGAAGGGCAUGCGAAACCGCUCGGCUUGAGUGUCGGAGGGGAAGGCGGAAUUCCGGGUGUAGCGGUGAAAUGC
rnacentral:rRNA from 1 species